AAUGUCAGCAAGGUGAUAGUGAGAAAUAAAAGAGGUCUCUUUCCAGAGAGGAGCUUUCCCUUUGUCUCUGGCUUAAUUACCUUGCAGUUGAAACCAUAAAAAAAAAAUCAAGCAGACAUGGAAGAGAAGGUGCCUUCUUGUCUCUAGGAGUCUUGGGGUCUCACUCAUUUGCCUUCCAGCUGUUUGGUAGAGUGCUUUUUUGGAACAGGUCCUGGCCCACUGGGUUCUGCUCUAAAUGAAAAAGGCAGAAAGUAUGGAGCAAAAAGCCAUUAAUUACCAAGUCUUCGAAAGGCAUUGUGUGAGUGACCACGAGCGUCCCUCACACUUCGAACCAGCCACGUUUCAAGUGCUGGGUAGCUCCCUGCACCGUGUGGCCCCCACACUGGACGACGGUGUAGACGGAAACCUAAGGGAGCUGUACUCUGUUAAAACAGCCAGAACACAGCUUGCUGCCUGGAUUCCUGAAGUGGAAGGUGGGAAAGCAUUCUUCUUAGGAAUCAGGCAGAGGAAGGCCGGCCUCCCUUGCACCCCACAUUUGCAUCCCAGUGUUCUUGACUUUCAUACAGAUCACAGUCUGCCUCCUGACGCUUCCAAACACCCCAUGGCUCCCAGGACCAACCCCGCCCCACUGCAACCCAAACUUGACCAUCAUUUUCUCUCUCCUGGGACCCUGACUUGUUUAGGGGAGUGAUGUAAGAAUGGAAAACAAUUGGAGACCCUGCAAUGCGAAGAGAGUGAUUUGAGUUUCUUCAGCUUCCCUCCUGGCUCUCAUCAUGAGGCCCUGUUGUUCUGUUUGACCCUCUGUUCUCUGAAGGGCUCCUCAUGCUUUGAGUACAUUCCAUUUACCCCUCUUUUAGGCUAUUUCUGUUGCUCUCCACCAUACAAUAAUAGAUGCCCACUUUGAGCAGCAGGGAAGCUGUGGUCAUGGCUCAGGCUCUGCAGCCAAGGAGAGCAAAUUAGUAGAAAAGGAAAAGAAGAUGAAUUAAGCAGUCAAACCGGAGGUGGUUCUAUGCAUGUGAAAGUUUCAGAAGCUUUUUAUAUAACCUGGUGUAUUAUUGUUCUUCUGUGUUCCUGAAGGAAACAGUAAGGCAAUACAUCAAGGUCCAGUUUCUAGCCCCUUGAGGAGCCCUCACUUCUUGAAAGCUUCCAUUUUGAGUCACUGCUGAAGAGGAUCCCUGCAAAUUGUAAAAUUCAACCUCUUUGUCUUGUCAAUAAAAGCCACCUGUGU